rnacentral:lncRNA from 1 species
CAUGUGAGAGGUCCUCGUUGAUCGUGUUCAGUGGACUCAUUUGCUAUUGAGCACCUACAUGCUUGUCUUGGUGUCAAUCACACCAAUGACUCGAGACUAGUCACUUUCCCUGAGAGAAGACACAGCACGUACUGAUCUUAAUGGACUGUCAAUGCCCAAUUGGCAAUCCUAUGAUCAGGAACGUUUAGGAUAUAUAUACGAAAGAGAAUGGUCUCAUGAAUCUAACAUGUUUAAAUUACAUUCUCCUAAUUACAUAUUCCUUGGACUUAUCAUUUAAGCAUAUAACAUUUAUAUGAGACGGCUUAAAACAAUAAUCGUUGCCCUUGAUAUUAAACUAGAUUAGUUUAACAUGUGAAAUGUC